rnacentral:rRNA from 1 species
AUUGAACGCUGGCGGCAGGCCUAACACAUGCAAGUCGAACGAGUGGCGGACGGGUGAGUAAUGUCUGGGACACUGCCUGAUGGAGGGGGAUAACUACUGGAAACGGUAGCUAAUACCGUAUACCCUCAGAUGUGCCCAGAUGGGAUUAGCUAGUUGGGGGGGUAACGGCUCACCAAGGCGACGAUCCCUCGCUGGUCUGAGAGGAUGACCAGCCACACUGGAACUGAGACACGGUCCAGACUCCUACGGGAGGCAGCAGGGGGGAAUAUUGCACAAUGGGCGCAAGCCUGAUGCAGCCAUGCCGGGUGUGUGAAGAAGGCCUUCGGGUUGUAAAGUACUUUCAGCGAGGAGGCGUUACCCGCAGAAGAAGCACCGGCUAACUCCGUGCCAGCAGCCGCGGUAAUUC